GAUGAACGCUGGCGGUCUGCUUAACACAUGCAAGUCGAACGGGGUGCUUCGGCACCUAGUGGCGGACGGGUGAGUAACGCGUGAGGAUCUGCCCUUAGGACCGGGACAACAGCUGGAAACGGCUGCUAAUACCGGAUGUGCCGGAAGGUGAAACAUUAAUGGCCUGAGGAUGAACUCGCGUCUGGUUAGCUAGUUGGUAGUGUAAUGGACUACCAAGGCGACGAUCAGUAGCUGGUCUGAGAGGAUGACCAGCCACACUGGGACUGAGACACGGCCCAGACUCCUACGGGAGGCAGCAGUGGGGAAUUUUCCGCAAUGGGGGCAACCCUGACGGAGCAAGACCGCGUGGGGGAAGAAGGUUUGUGGAUUGUAAACCCCUUUUGAUUGGGAGGAAGACAGUGACGGUACCAAUCGAAUCAGCAUCGGCUAACUCCGUGCCAGCCGCCGCGGUAAUAC
rnacentral:rRNA from 1 species